ACAGCUUCGAUUCUUUCAACAAUUUGUAGUCAGUUCGGAUAAACGUGUUCCAUUCAGAAGAUUAGUGCUGACUAAAGAUGGACUCUAAGAAAAUAGCCUUGCUCUGUUUAGUGGUUUGUAUCCUCGCCUUCACCGACACAGAGGGCGCACCUCGCAUGAGUCACAUUCCAGGGAAGGUGCAUUCACAAUUUGCUGCACCCGGGGCUGGUCUACACAGCGUCCAUCGUCGAGACUCUGAAAUGGGCUCUUCAGAAGAAGGCACUGAAUCUCCGGACGAAUAAUCGGUCUUGACAAAUUUGAUUGGGCGAUGAACAUCAAUAUAUCUAAAUAUAUAAUUCAUUAUAAAUACAAUAGAACUAGUUAUACAACCAUAGUUAAGAACUAAUACUUGCUUACAAUAAUAUUGCGUAAAAACUUGCAAUCGAUAAAAUAAUUUCUUCAUAGUUAUGAAAACAUGCAUAGUCGAGCAUCACACUAGAAGAGGACUAUACUGAAAUGAAUAAUUUCCAUAGCAACCCACAAAUCACUAGGAAUAUCAUUUAUUAAGUCAUUUUAUGUAAGAUUCUCAUGACUUGUAUGUAGUUGAAAGGGAAAUUUGAAAAACAGAAAUGUUUAGAGAAUAUGGCUCAUAAUUCGAAUGUUGUUAAACAAAAUAUUCCAGCGUAAAAUUUACAACAUAAUAUGACUCAAUAUGGUUAGGAGUUUGUCUGUUUUAUUAGUGUAUGUAUACAAAUAUUGUUAGUAGUAAUAUAUUCAAGUAGUUUUUCAUUCCUUAAAUAGAUGAUUUAUGCUAGAAAUUCUCAUUUCUUUCAUUUAAAGUGCGUAUAUAAAUGUUAAGCAGUUCUAAUUUAAGUACAGUAUACUAUUUAGUAAAUGCAUUUCUAGUAGAGUAAGUAUGGUACGACAUUGAUCAGUCACGCAUGAAUUAGCACAUGUUCAUUUUAGAAAUGUACACACAUGCUCUCGUAGUAUAAACAGAGUACGUACUUUCGUGAAAUGACAAUGGCUAAUUCAUGCGUGACUGAUGUCAUGUAUAAAAUUGAGUCAAGCCACGUUCGCAUGAGGAGACUAACGUGUAAUGUUAAAACGCUCAACAUCGAAUUGAAGAAUAUGUAAAAUAGCAUAUAUUUAUAAAUGGAUAUUGCCAUGGUAAUUAACAAUACAAUUUUGAUGUCUAUUACAAGACCCUACUACAGCAUAAUGGUUGAAAGUUCCGAAAUAUAGAAUCGUAGAAUGAAUAUUGAAUAAAUAAGUAUUCUAUAGCUAUGUAAAUUAUGUAUAGAUACCACUGUAAUGUAGUGUACAGGGUUUUGUUCUCUUGUAUCUAGUUUAGUUCAUAUGUAUAUAUUAAACACAAAGCAUGACA